GAUGAACGCUGGCGGCGUGCCUAAUACAUGCGAGUCGAGCGAACAGAUGAGGAGCUUGCUCCUCUGACGUUAGCGGCGGACGGGUGAGUAACACGUGGAUAACCUACCUAUAAGACUGGGAUAACUUCGGGAAACCGGAGCUAAUACCGGAUAAUAUAUUGAACCGCAUGGUUCAAUAGUGAAAGACGGUUUUGCUGUCACUUAUAGAUGGAUCCGCGCCGCAUUAGCUAGUUGGUAAGGUAACGGCUUACCAAGGCAACGAUGCGUAGCCGACCUGAGAGGUUGAUCGGCCACACUGGAACUGAGACACGGUCCAGACUCCUACGGGAGGCAGCAGUAGGGAAUCUUCCGCAAUGGGCGAAAGCCUGACGGAGCAACGCCGCGUGAGUGAUGAAGGUCUUCGGAUCGUAAAACUCUGUUAUUAGGGAAGAACAAAUGUGUAAGUAACUAUGCACGUCUUGACGGUACCUAAUCAGAAAGCCACGGCUAACUACGUG
rnacentral:rRNA from 1 species